rnacentral:sRNA from 1 species
UACUGGUCGAGAGUUGUUGCCGCUCUCUUGAUGAAUCCAAGGCAGGACGAAACCAGUG